GUGGGGAAUCUUCCGCAAUGGACGAAAGUCUGACGGAGCAACGCCGCGUGAGUGAUGAAGGCCUUCGGGUUGUAAAGCUCUGUUAAUCGGGACGAAAGAGCGCUGUGCGAAUAGUGCAGCGAAGUGACGGUACCGGAAUAGAAAGCCACGGCUAACUACGUGCCAGCAGCCGCGGUAAUACGUAGGUGGCAAGCGUUGUCCGGAAUUAUUGGGCGUAAAGCGCGCGCAGGCGGAUCUGUAAGUCUGUCUUAAAAGUUCGGGGCUCAACCCCGUGAGGGGAUAGAAACUGCAGAUCUUGAGUAUCGGAGAGGAAAGUGGAAUUCCUAGUGUAGCGGUGAAAUGCGUAGAGAUUAGGAAGAACACCAGUGGCGAAGGCGACUUUCUGGACGAACACUGACGCUGAGGCGCGAAAGCCAGGGGAGCGAACGGGAUUAGAUACCCGGGUAGUCC
rnacentral:rRNA from 1 species